rnacentral:rRNA from 1 species
AUGGAGACCCCGCCGCCGCCGCCGCGCUGGCCGCCGGGCUUCCGCUUCAGCCCCACCGACGAGGAGCUCGUCCUCUUCUUCCUCAAGCGCCGGGUCGCCGCCGGCCGCCCCUCCCCCUACAUCGCCGACGUCGACGUCUACAAGUCCCACCCCUCCCACCUCCCCGAGAGGUCGGCGCUGCGGACGGGGGACAAGCAGUGGUUCUUCUGCAGCCGGCUGGACCGCAAGUACCCCAACGGCUCGCGCGCCAGCCGCACCACCGCCGACGGCUACUGGAAGGCCACGGGCAAGGACCGCUCCAUCUGCAACGCCGGCCGCGCCGUGGGGAACAAGAAGACGCUCGUCUACCACCACGGCCGCGCGCCGCGCGGGGAGCGCACCGACUGGGUCAUGCACGAGUACACCAUCCUCGCCGACGCGCUCCCGCCGCCCGCACGGUGCCGCGAGUCCUACGCCCUCUACAAGCUCUUCGAGAAGAGCGGGGUCGGCCCCAAGAACGGCGAGCAGUACGGCGCGCCCUUCCGGGAGGAGGACUGGCUGGACGACGACGACGACUGCGAGCUGCCCUCUGAUCCCAUCCCUAUCGCCGUCAGUCUACCUAGAGCCGUGACAGUGGACGAGCAGAUUGGGGAUGUUUUGACAGUUGUCGAGCAGAUUGGGGGUGUGACAGUGGACAAGCAGAUUGGGGUUAUGACAGUGGACGACCAGCUUGGGGAUCUUGAGGUGUUCCUGUUGCAAAAUGGAGAUGAUCUGGGAAACAGUGAACCACAGUCGGAUUUCUCGACACCGGUUUCUUCACAGGCUCCGCUUCAGCAUGGCCAUCCUCAAGGUCGGCCCAGCGAUGAUGGUAACAUAUCUGAGGUCGCAGAUGCUACAACCAGCAGCCGUGGUAUGGUAAUGGCGGUGAAUACGUGCACUGAACUCCCUUUUGGGGAUCUUGAGGGGCUACUGAUGGAAAUAUCGGAUGAUCAACGGGCCACUGAAUCGUUCGAAGAAUUCUCAGAAUUCAUUCCCCAACUGCAGCUUCAGCAUGAUGAUCAUGAGCAUGAGGCUUGGCCCAAUGCCAACAUGGAGGAGAUUAGUGUUGCGGAUUAUGCCACUAGUAAUGGCGUUGUGGACGCUUCAGGAUGUACUGUCACCGAGCUUCCCUAUGAGGAUAUUGAAGGGCUUCUGUUGCAAUUAGAGAAUGACCAGGGAAAUGUCCAACCACUGGCAGAUUUCUCCACACCAGUUCCUCGUCAUGAGUUCCAUCAGGUUGGCUCUGGAGAUUUCCAUGGAUGUCACGGUGCUACAUUCAACUCUGUAGAUCCUUCUUCUGCAGUGCAAGAAAACAGAGAUCUUGAUCCACGAUCGGAGCCCAGUAAUCAAAUUACACAGUCUGCCCUCACCAACAUGCCAUUGAAUUGGGAAACAGAUUGCACUGAAGAAACAAGUGCGCUGCGAUCUGUGUCAGGGUUGGCCAGUUAUGACGGUCAGGAUGCUGAGGAGGAGUUCCUUGAAAUCAACGAUUUCUUGGAUCCAGAAGAUGUAGGACAGACUGGAGUGGCGACUGAAAACCAGUUUGGUUAUCUUGGUGAUAGUGGAUCCCAGAACCAGGGAUUCCAGUAUACAUCUGAAUCGUGGACGCACAACCAGGUCGCUCUGAAUGUGCGGAACCACAUGAAUCAUAACCAUGUUGUCUUCUCACAUGCAUCAGGCACUGCGAAUUUCCACACGGUGAAUGAGCAACCACAUAACCUGAGUCCAGCGGAUUCGCAGUCAUGGUUCAAUUCAGCUGUGUCAGCCCUGCUGGAUGCGGUACCUGCCAAUCCAGCUCUGGCGGCUGAAAACAAUGUUCUCAACAGAACACUCCAACGCAUUUCUAGCUUUAGGUCAGAACAAGCUCCGAAGGAAGAAGCAAGCGCCCCAGUUAUCCAGGUUAGAAGAAGGGGCGCAGGGCUGAUCUCGGUCUCGCUACUGGUUUUGCUUGCUGCCAUCAUGUGGACCUUUGCUGCUGGCACCGGGUACGCAAUCAAGUUCUGCAAGGGGUUAUGGAAGUCCUCCUCUACAUGA